GUGCAUGCGGUUGCUUGUUAAACGUAUAAACUGUUAAAUUAGAUGGCGACUCUGCAUUAAACGUAUUUAUUUAAUUAAUCGGCGAUCGUCUUUCACCAGAGGACUAAGAUAAAACAACUCGAUUUAAAAUGUGAGCAGUUUUAGUGGAUCUGACGUCGAGGGAAAAAGUAUUUGGUUUUUUGUUUGGAGAUGAACGAGGCAACACGAGGCACAGCGACAUAAAUAUGACCAACCAGAUCCCAAGUAGACAGGAACAAAUGAAGAUAUAGCGCAUAGAAAGACUUAUUCUUGGUGAUCAACUGCUAUUGACAUUUUUGAAUCGGGCCAAUUGUGGAGUGAUUCGGAAGAAAAACGUUUGCAACACAUCCAUUCCAGGUGGCUAAUUUCUGUCCUUUUGAAUUAUUCUUGUAAAAACCGUUUGUUUUUAUUGUAAAGCUGUAAGGGACUUGGCCUAGUCAUCCUUGCAUAUACCAUUUGGCAGGGCACCAGACUAACUUUUUUUACUAGGAGC